rnacentral:rRNA from 1 species
UACGGAGGGUGCAAGCGUUAUCCGGAUUCACUGGGUUUAAAGGGUGCGUAGGCGGGCAGGUAAGUCAGUGGUGAAAUCUCCGAGCUUAACUCGGAAACUGCCAUUGGUACUAUUUGUCUUGAAUAUUGUGGAGGUAAGCGGAAUAUGUCAUGUAGCGGUGAAAUGCUUAGAUAUGACAUAGAACACCAAUUGCGAAGGCAGCUUACUACACAAUGAUUGACGCUGAGGCACGAAAGCGUGGGGAUCAAACAGG